CCUACGGGAGGCAGCAGUGGGGAAUAUUGCACAAUGGGGGAAACACUGAUGCAGCGACGCCGCGUGAGUGAAGAAGUAUCUCGGUACGUAAAGCUCUAUCAGCAGGGAAGAAAAUUACGGUACCUGACUAAGAAGCCACGGCUAACUACGUGCCGGCACCCGCGGUAAUACGUAGGGGGCAAGCGUUAUCCGGAUUUACUGGGUGUAAAGGGAGCGUAGACGGCAGCACAAGUCUGGAGUGAAAUCCCGGGGCUUAACCCCGGAACUGCUUUGGAAACUGUGCGGCUUGAGUGCAGGAGGGGUAAGCGGAAUUCCUGGUGUAGCGGUGAAAUGCGUAGAUAUUAGGAGGAACACCGGUGGCGAAGGCGGCUUACUGGACUGUAACUGACGUUGAGGCUCGAAAGCGUGGGGAGCAAACAGGAUUAGAUACCCUUGUAGUC
rnacentral:rRNA from 1 species